AGUGAACGCUGGCGGUAGGCCUAACACAUGCAAGUCGAACGGCAGCACAGUAAGAGCUUGCUCUUACGGGUGGCGAGUGGCGGACGGGUGAGGAAUACAUCGGAAUCUACUUUUUCGUGGGGAUAACGUAGGGAAACUUACGCUAAUAACGCAUACGACCUACGGGUGAAAGCAGGGGAUCUUCGGACCUUGCGCGAUUGAAUGAGCCGAUGUCGGAUUAGCUAGUUGGCGGGGUAAAGGCCCACCAAGGCGACGAUCCGUAGCUGGUCUGAGAGGAUGAUCAGCCACACUGGAACUGAGACACGGUCCAGACUCCUACGGGAGGCAGCAGUGGGGAAUAUUGGACAAUGGGCGCAAGCCUGAUCCAGCCAUACCGCGUGGGUGAAGAAGGCCUUCGGGUUGUAAAGCCCUUUUGUUGGGAAAGAAAAGCAGCAGGUUAAUACCCCGCUGUUCUGACGGUACCCAAAGAAUAAGCACCGGCUAACUUCGUG
rnacentral:rRNA from 1 species